rnacentral:lncRNA from 1 species
CACCAUUCCUUCCUGAAGGGUAUCUGGGGUAGCCAUCCCCUACUUCCCUCCGCGUCCCGGGGAAAACCCUAGGGCUUGUCCGGGCAGCAGUGUCGUCGGUGUUGGUUGCUUUGGAAUACAAAGCGGGGGAAACCCUUUUUCGGUACAGGCAUCACCUUUGCCGGCAAGCUACCAGACCAACCAGGCAGAAAUUCCCGGCCUACACACAACCCCGAAUCGCCCGCCCAACAAACCACUAUCAGCCAUACCUACACCUCCCAAUAUCAAGCCUAAUCAGCGCAUUCCUGCGCAACACCUCCCAUCAGAGAGCUAACAGUAGCAACUAGCGACUAAUGGUACAGCUAGCAAAGCUUCGGAAAGACAUAGAACUAGAUAGAGAGAGAAGCCAGACCUGGCUGCGCAGAUGGCUGCCCUCGGUUCGCCUCCGAGGGUGAAGUGUCGCGGCUGCGACGCCACGGCGGUCGCCAUCGGGGUUGCUGCUCCUCGAGGCCGACGACGAGAUCGGCGCGGGAUUCACGAGCUUCACAACAAGCGAGUACGAGAGGGAUAGGGUNNNNNNNNNNAUUAGCAUACGAACAAUACGAUCUAGUGCUAGGCUUAGGAUUGGGUCUUGUCCACCACAUCAUUCUCCCAAUGAUGUGAUCCCGUUAUCAAUGACAUCCAAUGUCCAUGAUCAGGAAACCAUGAUCAUCUAUUGACUAACGAGCUAGCCAACUAGAGGCUUGCUAGGGACACAUUGUGAUCUAUUCAUUCACACAUGUAUUACUGUUUCCUCUUAAUACAAUUAUAGCAUGAACGAUAGACGAUUAUCAUGAACAAGGAAAUAUGAUAAUAACCAUUUUAUUAUUGCCUCUAGGGCAUAUUUCCAACAAAGAUAACAGCGUGAAACCAUAAAAAAUUAUAAAUACGUUUGAGACGUAUCAGGAACCAGUGGCACCGGCGAACCUCGUUACUUGUGACAUGGUCCCCACCUCCUCUAUAUAGCACUGCGCGACAGGGGCCACCAGCCUUGCUUGGGCUGGACGCCCCCGAUCAGGGCGUGGGUUAAGGUUCCAAUGGGCCAUUGGGCCCAUUGAAGGAGAUAUCAAUCUAACAACCUACACCUCCCAAUAUCAAGCCUAAUCAGCGCAUUCCUGUGCAAUACCUCCCAUGAGAGAGCUAACACUAGCAACUAGCGACUAAUGGUACAGCUAGGAAAGCUUCAGAAAGACAUAGAACUAGAUAGAGAGAGAAGCCCGACCUGGCUGCGCAGAUGGUUGUCCUCGGCUCGCCUCCGAGGGUCAAGUGUCACGGCUGCGAUGCCACGACGGUCUCCAUUGGGGUUGCUGCUCCUCGAGGCCGACGACGAGAUCGACGCGGGAUUCACGAGCUUCACAACAAGCGAGUACGAGAGGGAUAGGGUUUAUAUCUGGAGGGAAGCUGCGGUGGGAAAGAACUCAAUCGAAGUAAGGCUUCCAGGAGUGGAGAGCAAGGAGAGGGGGAAGGGAGGGCCCCGGAAACGAUAGGCACCGGGAAGGGCUACUUGGCUUCUUCCUUUCUUCUUCUUUUC